rnacentral:rRNA from 1 species
GACGAACGCUGGCGGCGUGCUUAACACAUGCAAGUCGAACGGAAAGGCCCUGCUUUUGUGGGGUGCUCGAGUGGCGAACGGGUGAGUAACACGUGAGUAACCUGCCCUUGACUUUGGGAUAACUUCAGGAAACUGGGGCUAAUACCGGAUAGGAGCUCCUGCUGCAUGGUGGGGGUUGGAAAGUUUCGGCGGUUGGGGAUGGACUCGCGGCUUAUCAGCUUGUUGGUGGGGUAGUGGCUUACCAAGGCUUUGACGGGUAGCCUGCCUGAGAGGGUGACCGGCCACAUUGGGACUGGGAUACGGCCCAGACUCCUACGGGAGGCAGCAGUGGGGAAUAUUGCAGAAUGGGCGGAAGCCUGAUGCAGCAACGCCGCGUGCGGGAUGACGGACUUCGGGUUGUAAACCGCUUUCGCCUGUGACGAAGCGUGAGUGACGGUAAUGGGUAAAGAAGCACCGGCUAACUACGUG